GGAAAGGCUCAGAAAUAGAGAAAAAGAAAUUGCUAGACAGCACAAGAUGGAGGGUAGAGCAGAUUGUGGAAGGGGGGUGGACUCAAAAUCGUGACUCCUGCAGAAGACAUAUAACGUAGGUGGGGUUGGUCCGACACUUCAUCAACAACCGGGCAUCUCCCUUAACCGUCGGACCGAAGGUUACAAAAGUGAACAACAAGAAACAAAACUCGCACACACACACAUAAAAAAAUAAAUUGCUCCUGCCUCCAAAAGACAGAAAGAAAGAAAAGAGACAGGGGGAAAAAAUAUUAGAAAUAUAAUAAAGAGGGCAGUUCCUUUUCGGUUUUUACAUGAUCAAAACACACUUUGGGUUUUGGAAGGCAUUGGGUGCUGUUGGUGCUCCUACUUUAGCAUGCAUAGUUCUGUUCCGAUCACGUCCUGAUGAGGUGUGAGAUGUGACAGAGUAAUGUAAUUUAUUUUUAUGUGUUUCUGCUGUCAGUGGGAUUUUACAGGCUUCAGAUAGCGAGCUGGAAUACAACUUACUACGUACAUGUGCUGGCUUUGGAAAGCAAGUGCCAAUAGUGUUAAAGUUUUUCGCGGUUUUAUGUGUGCCCCAAUCACACUUCUCAGAUUAUUUUUCAUUUAAUUUUUCAUUAGUGUGCGUGCCAUGGCAGAAAGUUAUAGGAUCUCAAUAAUAACUAGUAGAGUAAAUUUGGAAUACAUGCAUCAUUUAGAAGUGGCAAAGGAAUAAUUGCCGUUCGCUUCAAAUCUAAAAAUAAAAGACUCGAUAAAGGAUACCAUUUAAAUCUUUGAUUCUAUAUUACCCUCCGGUUAAAUUCUAAAUCUUUUGAAGUGUUAUUGUUUUGAUACUUCUGAACCGGUCAGCAACUGGAGAAAGAAUUUGAUACGGGACGCUCAGAUAGAUGUCCAUUACGUGCAAUUA